UAGGGAAUCUUCGGCAAUGGGGGGAACCCUGACCGAGCAACGCCGCGUGAGUGAAGAAGGUUUUCGGAUCGUAAAGCUCUGUUGUUAAGGAAGAACGAGUGUGAGAAUGGAAAGUUCAUACUGUGACGGUACUUAACCAGAAAGGGACGGCUAACUACGUGCCAGCAGCCGCGGUAAUGCGUAGGUCCCGAGCGUUGUCCGGAUUUAUUGGGCGUAAAGCGAGCGCAGGCGGUUAGAUAAGUCUGAAGUUAAAGGCAGUGGCUCAACCAUUGUAGGCUUUGGAAACUGUUUAACUUGAGUGCAGAAGGGGAGAGUGGAAUUCCAUGUGUAGCGGUGAAAUGCGUAGAUAUAUGGAGGAACACCGGUGGCGAAAGCGGCUCUCUGGUCUGUAACUGACGCUGAGGCUCGAAAGCGUGGGGAGCGAACAGG
rnacentral:rRNA from 1 species